GUUUAAAAUUAUUUGACUGGAAGUUGAGCCAGUGCCCACUCCAUCACCCUGGGAACUGUGAUUCUACCAGGAAAUGUUUUUGUCGGGUAAACUUUUCCUACUUGCUGCCAGGGAGGGAUCAGCUGUUGUUGCUUCUUGCCAGGGCUGUUAUCACGCCCUUCUCCCUGGUGACAGUGGAAAGCCAGUGGCCAGCUCCCAACCACCCUGGCUAGCACCCCUUUCGUGCCACCUUUCCCCCCUGAGGGAGGCCGCUGGGUACUGGAUGUCAUUGGCACCACCUUGGCUCUGCAGAUCCACCCAGCCCUUACUGCUGCUGGGUCCACUUAGGAAGAAUAUGAGGCUCUCUCUAGGCAAAGAUCUGGAGGUUCAGCCCACAGGACGGAUUCCUCCUGGAUCUCAGCGAAGCAGGGAAGUCAUUCAUCAAUUUCUAGAAGGUUCUUGCUGUGGAGCUCCCAAUCUUGCAGUGAUCCUCCUGUCUCAGCCUUCCAAGUGCUGGGAUUACAGGCAUGUCCCACCACACCCAGCUCUGGAAGGAAGGUGUUGCUGAAGUUGAAGAUGCCCAUUUUCGGAUUGAGACCCUCGGUUCUUCAUGACGAGCUCUCCGGA
rnacentral:lncRNA from 1 species